rnacentral:rRNA from 1 species
GUUGCUACGUCUGGUAGCGAAUAACAAGGCAUCUUUUUAUUUUUAAAAGACCUUUUUCGGAAGGUAUGCUUAAAGAGGGGCUUGCGUCACAUUAGUUAGUUGGCAGGGUAAAGGCCUACCAAGACUAUGAUGUGUAGCUGGACUGAGAGGUUGAACAGCCACAUUGGGACUGAGACACGGCCCAAACUCCUACGGGAGGCAGCAGUAGGGAAUUUUCGGCAAUGGAGGAAACUCUGACCGAGCAACGCCGCGUGAACGAUGAAGUAUUUCGGUAUGUAAAGUUCUUUUAUUGAAGAAGAAAAAAUAGUGGAAAAACUAUCUUGACGAUAUUCAAUGAAUAAGCCCCGGCAAACUAUGUGCCAGCAGCCGCGGUAAUACAUAGGGGGCGAGCGUUAUCCGGAAUUAUUGGGCGUAAAGGGUGCGUAGGCGGUUUAAUAAGUCUAUAGUUUAAUUUCAGUGCUUAACACUGUCCUGCUAUAGAAACUAUUAGACUAGAGUGAGAUAGAGGCAAGUGGAAUUCCAUGUGUAGCGGUAAAAUGCGUAAAUAUAUGGAGGAACACCAGAGGCGUAGGCGGCUUGCUGGUCUUUACUGACGCUGAGGCACGAAAGCGUGGGGAGCAAACAGGAUUAGAUACCCUGGUAGUCCACGCCGUAAACGAUGAGUACUAAGUGUCGGGAUUACUCGGUACUGAAGUUAACACAUUAAGUACUCCGCCUGAGUAGUACGUACGCAAGUAUGAAACUUAAAGGAAUUGACGGGACUCCGCACAAGCGGUGGAUCAUGUUGUUUAAUUCGAAGAUACACGAAAAACCUUACCAGGUCUUGACAUACUCUGCAAAGCUAUAGCAAUAUAGUGGAGGUUAUCAGGGAUACAGGUGGUGCAUGSUUGUCGUCAGCUCGUGUCGUGAGAUGUUAGGUUAAGUCCUAAAACGAGCGCAACCCUUGUCAUUAGUUGCCAGCAUGUCAUGAUGGGCACUUUAAUGAGACUGCCAAUGAAAAAUUGGAGGAAGGUGAGGAUCACGUCAAAUCAUCAUGCCCCUUAUGAUCUGGGCUACAAACGUGAUACAAUGGCUGUUACAAAGAGUAGCUGAAACGCAAGUUUAUAGCCAAUCUCAUAAAAGCAGUCUCAGUUCGGAUUGAAGUCUGCAACUCGACUUCAUGAAGUUGGAAUCGCUAGUAAUCGCGAAUCAGCAUGUCGCGGUGAAUACGUUCUCGGGGUUUGUACACACCGCCCGUCAAACCACGAAAGUUGGUAACACUCAAAAACGGUAGCCUAACUUCUUCGGAAGAGGGAACCGUCUAAGGUAGGAUCGUAUGAUUGGCCUAAGUAGAGGUUGCAAU